UUAUAUUUUGGUGUUACAUUGCAUAAAAAGUUUUGAUCUUUUAGGAAGUAGAUUACCUACUAAAUAUAAA
rnacentral:tRNA from 1 species